GGAAAAGGGAAGAGAAUAAUAUCUCCAUAAAGGAACAACAAUAACAAUAACAACCUUGUCCAUUAACCAGAAUGCAGUAGUUUUGUCACCGACUAAAGCUUGAUCAUGACUUUCAGCAUAAGCAACACAUUUUUCCGACCAUCUUUUGUUGGUAAGUGUGUGAACAAUGUCACCCAUACUCCAAUCCUCGUCCCUUUUCCUGCAUUAGUACCAAGAUGACCAAGAACGAAUGCAUUAGACAGG